rnacentral:rRNA from 1 species
CACGUAGGGUGCGAGCGUUUGUCCGGAAUUAUUGGGCGUAAAGAGCUCGUAGGCGGUGUGUCGCGUCGGCCGUGAAAACCUGCAGCUUAACUGUGGGCUUGCGGUCGAUACGGGCAUCACUGGAGUUCGGCAGGGGAGACUGGAAUUCCUGGUGUAGCGGUGAAAUGCGCAGAUAUCAGGAGGAACACCGGUGGCGAAGGCGGGUCUCUGGGCCGAUACUGACGCUGAGGAGCGAAAGCGUGGGGAGCGAGCAGG